rnacentral:rRNA from 1 species
UACGGGGGGAGCAAGCGUUGUUCGGAUUUACUGGGCGUAAAGGGCGCGUAGGCGGUCGUGACAAGUCACUUGUGAAAUCUCCGGGCUUAACCCGGAAAGGUCAGCCGAUACUGCGGGGCUAGAGUGCAGAAGGGGCAACUGGAAUUCUCGGUGUAGCGGUGAAAUGCGUAGAUAUCGAGAGGAACACCUGCGGCGAAGGCGGGUUGCUGGGCUGACACUGACGCUGAGGCGCGAAGCUAGGGGAGCGAACGGG